rnacentral:tRNA from 1 species
GCCGGAGUGGCGGAGCGGCCAAACGCGCCAGACUCAAGAUCUGGUGGCUUAGUGCCUACGCAGGUUCAAAUCCUGCCUCCGGCA